rnacentral:rRNA from 1 species
GUCAAAGCUACUAAGGGCUCACGGUGGAUGCCUUGGUGCUAGGCGGCGAUGAAGGGCGUGACAGACUGCGAUAAGCUUCGGGUAGUUGUUUAUAUGCUUUGAUCCGAAGAUUCCCGAAUCGGGCAACCGGAUAGGUAGUAAUACCUGUCGCCUGUGCGGUAACAGUACAGGCGCGAACCAGGAGAAGUGAAACAUCUCAGUACCCUGAGGAAAAGAAAGAAAACUCGAUUUCCCGAGUAGCGGCGAGCGAAACGGAAUCAGCCUAAACCAGGCAUACACGUAUGUCUGGGGUUGUGGGACCUUCAAACAGGCAGCGGUCUUUUAGCUUAACGUCCCUGGAAUAGGGCGACCAGAGAAGGUUACAGUCCUGUGAGUGAAAAGAGACACCUGCUUAGAAGGAAUCCCGAGUACCACGGGAUAGACGAACCUGUGGGAAUCCAGGAGGACCACCUCCUAAGGCUAAAUACGUCCUAGCGACCGAUAGUGAACAAGUACUGUGAAGGAAAGGUGAAAAGUUCCCCUGUUAGGGAAGUGAAAUAGAACCUGAAACCGUGAGCUUACAAGCUGUGGAAGUGCGAGAUCGGGUAACCGAUGUGCAUGACCGCGUGCCUUUUGCAUAAUGAGCCGGUGACUUACUUUACGUAGCAAGAUUAAGCUUUUCCGAAGCGGAGUCGUAGCGAAAGCGAGUCUGAAUAGGGCGAUAAGUUGCGUGGAGUAGACCCGAAACUGGGUGAUCUAUCCAUGGGCAGGAUGAAGCAUAUGUAGAAGUAUGUGGAGGUCCGAACCCACCAGGGCUGAAAACCUGGGGGAUGACCUGUGGAUCGGAGUGAAAGGCUAAUCAAACCCAGUGAUAGCUGGUUCUCCUCGAAAUAGCUUUAGGGCUAGCCUCAUGUGUUUGGCAAUGGUGGUAGAGCUCUGGUUGGACUAGCGGGACUACCAUCUUAGCAACUCCAGUCAAACUGCAAAUGCCAUUGCCUGAAGCAUGGGAGUCAGUCUGCGGGGGAUAAGCUCCGUUGACGAAAGGGAAACAGCCCAGAUCGCCAGCUAAGGUCCCAAAAUACAAGCUAAGUGGUAAAGGAUGUAAUGUUACACAGACAACCAGGAUGUUGGCUUAGAAGCAGCCAUUCAUUUAAAGAGUGCGUAACUGCUCACUGGUCGAGUGACUGUGCACCGAAAAUGUACCGGGGCUAAGCUUGUUACCGAAGCUGCGGAUUCUAAUCUAAUAGACUAGAGUGGUAGAGGAGCGUUCUAUUGUAGGACGAAGGUAAAUCGAAAGACUUACUGGACGAACUAGAAGUGACCAUGCCGGCAUAAGUAGCGAUAAAACAUGUGAGAAGCGUGUUCACCGAAAACCUAAGGUUUCCUAGGGCAAGGCAAAUCCGCCCGGGGUUAGUCGUAUCCUAAGGCGAGGCCGAAAGGCGUAGUCGAUGGGAAUCAGGUUAAUAUUCCUGAACCACCGAGGGAGAUUGAAAUACCAAGGGACGCAAAAUAUGAGAACUGAAUAGGUGAUGGUCCGAAGCGUCAAGGGCUUCUUCUCUUAAUAAGAAGCUUCAGUUUGAUUUUUUGCCGAGAAAAGCUUGGUGUGGACGAACUUUGGUGUACGUACCGUAAACCGACACAGGUAGGUGAGGAGAGAAUCCUAAGGUGCUCGAGAGAACUCUGGCUAAGGAACUCGGCAAAAUGAUCCCGUAACUUCGGAAGAAGGGAUGCUCGCAAGAGCCGCAGUGAAAUGGCCUAUGCGACUGUUUACUAAAAACACAGGUCUGUGCUAAAUCGCAAGAUGAUGUAUACGGACUGACGCCUGCCCGGUGCCGAAAGGUUAUGGUGAUGGGUGAAGGGGCAACCUGGAAGCUUUGACCCGAAGCCUCGGUGAACGGCGGCGGUAACUAUAACCGUCCUAAGGUAGCGAAAUUCCUCGUCGGGUAAAAUCCGACCUGCACGAAUGGCGUAACGACAUAGGCACUGUCUCGGCCAGAGACUCGGCGAAAUUGUAAUACCGGUGAAGAUGCCGGUUACCCAUAGAAAGACGGAAAGACCCCGUGAACCUUUACUAUAACCUGAUAUUGGGUUUUGGUGUAGCAUGUGUAGGAUAGGUGGGAGACUUUGAAGUUGGGGCGCUAGCUUCAAUGGAGUUGCCCUUGAAAUACCACUCUUGUUGCCCUAGAAUUCUAACUUUGGUUCGUGUAUCCGGAUCAAGGACAGUGUCAGGCGGGUAGUUUGACUGGGGCGGUCGCCUCCCAAAUCGUAACGGAGGCGCUCAAAGGUUCCCUCAGCGUGAUUGGAAACCACGCGUAGAGUGUAAAGGCACAAGGGAGCUUGACUGCGAGACAGACAUGUCGAGCAGGUGCGAAAGCAGGACUUAGUGAUCUUGCGGUGCUGUGUGGAAAGGCCGUAACUCAACGGAUAAAAGGUACUCCGGGGAUAACAGGCUUAUCGCGCCCAAGCGCUCAUAGCGACGGCGCGGUUUGGCACCUCGAUGUCGGCUCAUCACAUCCUGGGGCUGUAGGCGGUCCCAAGGGUUGGGCUGUUCGCCCAUUAAAGUGGUACGUGAGCUGGGUUUAGAACGUCGUGAGACAGUUCGGUCCCUAUCUUCUAUGGGCGUAGGAAAUUUGAGAGGAGCUGUUGCUAGUAUGAGAAGACCGUGAUGGACGAACCUCUAGUGUACCAGUUGUCACGCCAGUGGCACGGCUGGGUAGCUAUGUUCGGAAGGGAUAAACGCUGAAAGCAUCUAAGCGUGAAGCCCACCUCAAGAUAAGAUUUCCCACAGAGUUAAUCUGAUAAGGAUCCUUCGAGAUAAGGAGGUUGAUAGGUCAGGUGUGUAAGUGUGGUGACACAUUCAGCAGACUGGCACUAAUAAUCCGAAGGCUUUGACUU